AAACUUGUUCCUGAUGAUUCAGACUUGUAUGCAAAGAGGAGCCUUUGCUAUCUGCGUAUGGGUGAUAAAGAGAAUGCUUUGCUUGACGCUAUUACCUACAGAGAUAUGCAGCAAGAUUUACCUACAUCUUCAUCUGAUCAAGGAGCUGCUUUGACAUUGGUGCAGGAGUAUGGUAGAGAAUUUGAAGCAUUCAUGUCUGGUUUGAACUUGGGUUCUAGAAGCAGCCUGACUGACGAAACUGACGAAGCAUCUAGGGAGGAGCAUCUGUGAGGUGAAGCAAGGUUGUCAGUUGUUACUGCACAGACGAAGAUAAAGGCGACAUUCCGGGCGUCCAUGGAACCUCUGGGGCUGUUGUUUUUUGUUGGAUCCUGCAUUUUUCCCUGGAACCUGGCCACGUUUUGUGACGGAACACUAUCUAGUAACUGCUGGAGAUAUAGUACGUACUAUACCUAUCUAGUAACAUAGAUCAUAGACGGCAUACAUAUUUCACGUGAUAUACUGAACCGUGAAACCGAUCCGACGGCUGGCGAGGUCCUCUGUGUUGGGUUGUUAGAGCAAACACAAACAGUGAUGGAAGCCUGGAACCUUCCCCUGUUGAUUAGCAAUGCUGUGAGUU